UGGCUCAGUGGUUAAGAGCACUGACUGCUAUUCCAGAGGUCCUGAGUUCAAUUCCCAG
rfam:Mus musculus chromosome 5, GRC primary reference assembly.